rnacentral:rRNA from 1 species
GUUUAAAAACUCUGCUCUUAAAUAGUUGCACAGUGGCAGCCCUCCGCAAGGGAGGGAAGGUCGAGGGUGGUGUGUUGGCGGGCGGCGAGGCUCGAGGCCGAGCAGGGGGAGGGGAUUGGGGACGCGGGGUCCAGCGGCCGCUACUCGUCGGAGGCUCGGUGGAGGCGGGAGGAGGUGUGGAUGAUGAGAAGGCGGCGGCGGCCGGCUCCGCCGCGGUCCGCCGAGCCCAAGCGCGGCGCCGAGGCGCACCCGAAGGCGCAGGGCAGGUUCCGCAGCAGGCGGAAGCACGAGCUGCUCCAGCGCUCCCGCCGGCCCCCGCACGCCUCCUCCCGCCGGUGCGCGCGCCGGUCGACCCUAAGGCUCUUCAGGGGCAUGCUCUGCGAGCUCGACCUUUCCCUACGGCUGCUCCUCUGGUAUUUCCAGCGCAUGUCCUCUAACCGGUUCAAGAUAGUGGGACUACAAAUACUACCAUUCCCUUGGGAACUCCUUCCUCUCUGGCGACUUCGGGCAAAGUAGUUUUAGGUUCGUCGUAUACUCGACAACUAGCUACUGCUUUCCUCUUUCUGUAUGCUAUUUCUCGUAAAACACUUAGGUUACUUCCGAAGAGUCCGUACCUACCUCACCCACUACUUUUUUGCUUUUCGAAAGCUAUUUGCACCUCUGUACCGCCAUCGACGAACCCGGCUCGUUGUUGUUGCUCUUAACUGCGAAGCCCGCGCCGCAGAGAGAUCCAGCUUCCAACUGGGUCUCCUCCUUUCCUCUAAUGAGCGGUUCCUUUCCUUCCGAAGAUACCUCAAGAUGUCGUGUUGAGAUUUUUCUGUAUGGGAGCAUAAUGCCUUCUCCCUGUAGUACGCGUUCUCUCUUCUCCUUCUGUUCUACUCACUCUAGUCAUCCGAAGAUCGACGGCUCCCCGAACUCAAUCUAUGUCUGCUUCUACUACUACUGUGUUGAAAGAACUUCAUUAAGAUAGGUCAUAAAUGGGCGGUUAAUAUAGGUGGGGGGCAGGGUCUUCGGGACCUUCCAAAGGAACUUCAACGAAGGUAGCGUGACUUCAUAUAUUCCGUUCUUUUAAGCCGGAACAACUCGUACUACUCAACAUAUAACUAUUGACAACCUAGCCUUUUAGGAUAGACGCGUCUACAUCCUAACAGGGUACCUCGUCUUUCUCCUCCUUACACUUCACUAAGAAGUCACGACUAACGGCGUCCGGUCGUCACAUUAGCCGCUUCCGACCUAAGUUCUGAACGUUCUCGAUGCUGAUAGUCCACACAUAUGAACAAUGUACGUUCUACAUUAAUACAAUUCCACCAUAGGUCCGCGACAAUGGUCGACGAACAUUGGCACCGGGACACGAUAUGAUGACAUCUUCCGUCUACUUCGUCGGUCCAAACACAAAGUCGGAUCUAAGAAGGGCACCGGCCCGUGACAAAGUAAUGGACAAUAUCAUGAUGUUACGUACUAAGCGAACAGCAGGAACAAUUUUAGACUUCCGAAGACUUACUACUACUUAUGAUGGUUCACUAACGAUCAUUGCACUUAUAUGUGUAACAGCGUACGG